rnacentral:rRNA from 1 species
UACAGAGGUCCCAAGCGUUGUUCGGAUUCAUUGGGCGUAAAGGGGUGCGUAGGCGGUCGCGCAAGUCGGAUGUGAAAUCUCAGGGCUCAACCCUGAAACUGCAUUCGAUACUGCGUGGCUAGAGUGCUGGAGAGGAGACUGGAAUUUACGGUGUAGCAGUGAAAUGCGUAGAUAUCGUAAGGAAGACCAGUGGCGAAGGCGAGUCUCUGGACAGCAACUGACGCUGAGGCACGAAGGCCAGGGGAGCAAACGGG